GCGCGAAAACUUUACAAUGCUGGCAACAGCGAUAAGGGAACCUCGAGUGCCAGGUUACAAAUCUGGCUGUCGAGAUGCCUAAAAAAGCAUUUCAUAGCAAGGGCCGGGCAAGACCGGUGCCAGCCGCCGCGGUAACACCGGCGGCUCGAGUGGUAACCGUUAUUAUUGGGUCUAAAGGGUCUGUAGCCGGCCGGAUAAGUCUCUUGAGAAAUCUGGCAGCUUAACUGUCAGGCUUUCAGGAGAUACUGUCUGGCUCGAGGCCGGGAGAGGUGAGAGGUACUUCGAGGGUAGGGUGAAAUCUUGUAAUCCGUUGAAGGCCACCGAGUGGCGAAGGCGUCUCACCGAGACGGACCUGACGGCAAGGACGAAGCUAGGGGCACGAACCGGAUAGAGACCCGAGUA
rnacentral:rRNA from 1 species